GCCAGGGCAGAGCUCUCAUCUGGUGUGGCAGCAAGGGGCUGCCACAGUGUGUGACUUCAUUUGCUGAGGAGAGAUGGACACCUGGAAUCAUGCCAUGCAGCGACCUAAGGGGAAGACAGCACAGAGCCCUGUGACAGAAGGCGGCGAUAAGAAGACGGGCGACAUGGUUCCUUUAUUCCCGCCCACGCCUGCUCCUAAUUCCUGGUAGUCUGGGAAAACUGGAAGAAAAGAAAAUGCCAGAAAGUUACGGUAAAACUUAAGAUGCGGCCGAAGUCGCUUUCUUUGCCCCUGCUGUGAGUGUUUGAAUAAGAAGAAUGCUCCCGGACUGUAACAAGCAAAAAGAAUGAAGAAGACAAAAGAUUUCCAGAAAAAGGUUUAGCUAGAAGACAAGGCAAGUGAAACUGAAAGGAGAAAAAAAGCAUUUACAAUGGAACAAUAAGUGUACUAAUCGCUUUGAUAUAUUAUACAAGCCCAAAGACCCAAAACAUUGUGUAAUUAUUUAUAAAUGACUUCUCCACUCCUGUGUAUAAUGCAGAGGAAAGAAUAAAACUGCAGGCUACUCUCUAAACUAUUUCUAAAUAGACCUGGUUCAAAAGAAGGGAGAAGUGUUUGAAAUAAAAUAAUUAAUGGUGGA